GGAAAGGCGAGCAGGAGAGGGUCAGAGAGACAGAAAGGAGGGCAGCGCUGGGAGAAGACAUGAAAAAUUAGAACAGGAGCUCAGAGCACUCGGGAGAGCAGGGAAAUGACAGUUGAAAUUAGAACAGGAGCUAAGAGGAGCGAGCAGAAGGGGACGGCAGGAACCCAGAAAUGUAAGGAGGGGAGGAACAAUUGAGAGAAGUGGACAGAAAAAAGAAAGCUCAGCUUCACUAAGAGGGCCCAGGACUCAUGUGUGUCCAGUAGACAUGCCCUGUACGGAUCAGAACAAAUUAGUUGUCAUUCUGAAAUGACUCUGAAAGGGGAAAUGGAAUGCACCCAACAAUCAAUAUUAAAUUUUAUGCCUGCUGCACCUUUCAAAAGCCUCAAGAAGACAUUGAUUCAAUGCUGUUGAUAGAAAAUGAAAUUCAGAGCCAUCACCUGAAGCAUAGCAAGCUAAAAGAGUCACCUAGAUCUGCAAUGAACUUCGCUGUUGACAUGAUUGCAGAAAAGUCUAAAUUUUUUGACAUAACCAAAGAAAACACCACCAAGAGUGAUCUUGAAGCAGAUCUGUUAUGUCUCUGGAAGUGAAUCCCAUGCAUGAGAAACUCUGCAUGUAUUUGUCAAAAUCUGCAGUACAUUGUCUU